UGUCAAAAAAUUUACUUUUGCUUUCAAACUCAAGGAAAUGGUUUUGUUACUAACGGAGGGGCUGAUUCACAAUUGAUAAUAAUAUUGUCCAAGUGCACAGAGGCACUGGCACAAAACACAUGUGGUCCAAUUUCUUGCGUCACAAUACUCAUAAAAAAUACAUUUAUACCUACUCGACAACCUGAACUCUAUUAUGGCUACCGGCAACAAACGGAGCGGGUUACGGCAAUAUGGUAACAUUAUUUUAUUGGCCUUAUAUCAGGUGUGGAAGGGGAUUUCGUGCGGUUUUCUUUGUGAUACGAACGUGCGGAGAUGCAGGGCGUUUAUUCAAUUUUGAUAUAGUGUUGAAUCCCAGGUG